AACGAACGCUGGCGGCAGGCCUAACACAUGCAAGUCGAGCGGAUCCUUCGGGAUUAGCGGCGGACGGGUGAGUAACGCGUGGGAAUAUGCCCUUCUCUACGGAAUAGCCUCGGGAAACUGGGAGUAAUACCGUAUACGCCCUACGGGGGAAAGAUUUAUCGGAGAAGGAUUAGCCCGCGUUGGAUUAGGUAGUUGGUGGGGUAAUGGCCUACCAAGCCUACGAUCCAUAGCUGGUUUGAGAGGAUGAUCAGCCACACUGGGACUGAGACACGGCCCAGACUCCUACGGGAGGCAGCAGUGGGGAAUCUUAGACAAUGGGGGAAACCCUGAUCUAGCCAUGCCGCGUGAGUGAUGAAGGCCUUAGGGUUGUAAAGCUCUUUCAGCUGGGAAGAUAAUGACGGUACCAGCAGAAGAAGCCCCGGCUAACUCCGUGCCAGCCGCCGCCGUAACAC
rnacentral:rRNA from 1 species